CAGCCGCCGCGGGAAAACGGAGGGUGCAAGCGUUAAUCGGAAUUACUGGGCGUAAAGCGCACGCAGGCGGUCUGACAAGUCAGAUGUGAAAUCCCCGGGCUUAACCUGGGAACUGCAUUUGAAACUGUCAGGCUGGAGUCUUGUAGAGGGGGGUAGAAUUCCAGGUGUAGCGGUGAAAUGCGUAGAGAUCUGGAGGAAUACCGGUGGCGAAGGCGGCCCCCUGGACAAAGACUGACGCUCAGGUGCGAAAGCGUGGGGAGCAAACAGGAUUAGAUACCCCUGUAGUCCCUGUCUCUUAUAC
rnacentral:rRNA from 1 species